rnacentral:rRNA from 1 species
GACGAACGCUGGCGGCGUGCUUAACACAUGCAAGUCGAACGGAAAGGCCCUGCUUUUGUGGGGUGCUCGAGUGGCGAACGGGUGAGUAACACGUGAGUAACCUGCCCUUGACUUUGGGAUAACUUCAGGAAACUGGGGCUAAUACCGGAUAGGAGCUCCUGCUGCAUGGUGGGGGUUGGAAAGUUUCGGCGGUUGGGGAUGGACUCGCGGCUUAUCAGCUUGUUGGUGGGGUAGUGGCUUACCAAGGCUUUGACGGGUAGCCGGCCUGAGAGGGUGACCGGCCACAUUGGGACUGAGAUACGGCCCAGACUCCUACGGGAGGCAGCAGUGGGGAAUAUUGCACAAUGGGCGGAAGCCUGAUGCAGCAACGCCGCGUGCGGGAUGACGGCCUUCGGGUUGUAAACCGCUUUCGCCUGUGACGAAGCGUGAGUGACGGUAAUGGGUAAAGAAGCACCGGCUAACUACGUGCCAGCAGCCGCGGUGAUACGUAGGGUGCGAGCGUUGUCCGGAUUUAUUGGGCGUAAAGGGCUCGUAGGUGGUUGAUCGCGUCGGAAGUGUAAUCUUGGGGCUUAACCCUGAGCGUGCUUUCGAUACGGGUUGACUUGAGGAAGGUAGGGGAGAAUGGAAUUCCUGGUGGAGCGGUGGAAUGCGCAGAUAUCAGGAGGAACACCAGUGGCGAAGGCGGUUCUCUGGGCCUUUCCUGACGCUGAGGAGCGAAAGCGUGGGGAGCGAACAGGCUUAGAUACCCUGGUAGUCCACGCUGUAAACGGUGGGUACUAGGUGUGGGGUCCAUUCCACGGGUUCCGUGCCGUAGCUAACGCUUUAAGUACCCCGCCUGGGGAGUACGGCCGCAAGGCUAAAACUCAAAGGAAUUGACGGGGCCCCGCACAAGCGGCGGAGCAUGCGGAUUAAUUCGAUGCAACGCGUAGAACCUUACCUGGGUUUGACAUGGAUCGGGAGUGCUCAGAGAUGGGUGUGCCUCUUUUGGGGUCGGUUCACAGGUGGUGCAUGCCUGUCGUCAGCUCGUGUCGUGAGAUGCUGGGUUAAGUCCCGCAACGAGCGCAACCCUUGUUCACUGUUGCCAGCACGUUAUGGUGGGGACUCAGUGGAGACCGCCGGGGUCAACUCGGAGGAAGGUGGGGAUGACGUCAAGUCCUCAUGCCCCUUAUGUCCAGGGCUUCACGCAUGCUACAAUGGCUGGUACAGAGAGUGGCGAGCCUGUGAGGGUGAGCGAAUCUCGGAAAGCCGGUCUCAGUUCGGAUUGGGGUCUGCAACUCGACCUCAUGAAGUCGGAGUCGCUAGUAAUCGCAGAUCAGCAACGCUGCGGUGAAUACGUUCCCGGGGCU